UACGUAGGUGGCAAGCGUUUUCAGGAAUUAUUGGGCGUAAAGCGCGCGCAGGUGGUCCUUUAAGUCUGAUGUGAAAGCCCACGGCUCAACCGUGGAGGGUCAUUGGAAACUGGGGGACUUGAGUACAGAAGAGGAAAGUGGAAUUCCACGUGUAGCGGUGAAAUGCGUAGAGAUGUGGAGGAACACCAGUGGCGAAGGCGACUUUCUGGUCUGUAACUGACACUGAGGCGCGAAAGCGUGGGGAGCGAACAGG
rnacentral:rRNA from 1 species